rnacentral:sRNA from 1 species
CCCUGACUACUGGCGGAUUGCUGUGCCC